CCACUGUAAAUGUCUUCUGUGUGAACUGGUGUAGCAGUUAGAUUGACCCAGGAGCCUCUGCACAGCUGACUUCUCUUCUGUCUUUUCUGCUUUUUGGUGUUCUGAAGACUGAACGAUGAGGGUGUGUAUCGUCUUCCUCCUGUGCUAGCUGGCCAGGUGUUCACCGCUGCCAUU